CGCAGGAAGGGGCGGGGCCGCGGCCGUGGCGCCAAAACGCCGACAUGGCGCCAGAGCGGCUGCGGAGCCGGGCGGCCUCCGCCUUCAAGCUGCGCGGCUUGCUGCUCCGGGGCGAAGCUAUUAAGUACCUCACCGAAGCUCUUCAGUCUGUCAAUGAAGUAGAGCUUGAAGAUGCACUGGAAAAGAUCAUUGAUGCAGUUGAAAAGCAACCCUUGUCAUCAAACAUGGUCGAACAAUCUGUAGUGGAAGCAGCAGUCCAGGAAUGCAGUCAGUCAGCAGAUGAAACUGUAGAACAUAUUUUCAAUAUCAUAGGAGCGUUUGACAUCCCACGCUUUGUGUACAAUUCAGAAAGAAAAAAAUUCCUUCCUUUAUUAAUGACCAACCACCCUGCACCAAAUUUAUUUGGGACAGCAAGAGAUAAAGCAGAGCUGUUUCGUGAACGGUACACAAUUUUGCACCAGAGGACCCACAGACAUGAAUUAUUUACUCCUCCGGUGAUAGGUUCUCACCCUGAUGAAAGCAGAAGCAAAUUUCAGCUUAAGACAGUAGAAACCCUAUUGGGCAGUACAACCAAAAUCGGAGAUGUGAUUGUUCUUGGUAUGAUAACCCAGUUAAAAGAGGGAAAAUUUUUUCUGGAAGAUCCUACAGGAACAGUACAACUGGAUCUUAGUAAAGCUCAGUUCCAUAGUGGUUUAUACACAGAGUCAUGCUUUGUCUUAGCAGAAGGUUGGUUUGAAGAUCAGGUGUUUCAUGUCAAUGCCUUUGGAUUUCCACCCACUGAACCCUCUAGUACUACUAGGGCAUACUAUGGAAAUAUUAAUUUUUUUGGAGGACCUUCUAAUACAUCUGUGAAGACUUCUGCAAAACUAAAACAACUAGAGGAUGAGAAUAAAGAUACCAUGUUUGUGUUUAUAUCUGAUGUUUGGUUGGACCAAGUAGAAGUUUUGGAAAAACUUCACACCAUGUUUUCUGGUUAUUCACCAGCACCUCCAACCUGCUUUAUUCUGUGUGGUAAUUUUUCAUCUGCACCACAUGGAAAAAACCAAGUUCAAGCUUUGAAAGAUUCCCUAAAAACUUUGGCAGAUAUAAUAUGUGAAUACCCAAAUAUUCACCAAAGUAGUCGGUUUGUGUUUGUACCUGGUCCAGAGGAUCCUGGAUUUGGUUCCAUCUUACCGAGGCCACCAUUUGCUGAAAGCACCACUAAUGAAUUCAGACAGAGGGUACCAUUUUCAGUUUUUACUACUAAUCCUUGCAGAAUUCAGUAUUGUACACAAGAAAUUAUCGUCUUUCGUGAAGACUUAGUGAAUAAAAUGUGCAGAAACUGUGUCCGUUUUCCCAGUAGCAGUUUGGAUAUUCCUAAUCACUUUGUGAAGACUGUCUUAUCCCAAGGACACCUGACUCCUCUCCCUCUUUAUGUCUGCCCGGUGUAUUGGGCAUAUGACUAUGCUCUGAGAGUGUACCCUGUGCCUGACCUACUUGUCAUUGCAGACAAAUACGAUCCUUUUACUUUGACCAAUACUGAAUGCCUCUGCAUAAACCCUGGCUCUUUUCCAAGAAGUGGAUUUUCAUUCAAAGUUUUUUAUCCUUCCAAUAAGAUAGUAGAAGAUAGGUAAGUGUGCCCUCAGAAACAAGACAACAGCUGUCACCUGGUGUAAAUAUUGCUAAAAUUCCUAUGUUCUAUACGUGUGCUGAGGUUUUUAAAAAUGUCUACAGUAGCUCAUUGGAAAUGUUCUAGGCUGAACUUACUGUGUUCAUGCUGUGUGACACAGAACUGUAUGUACUUGAUGGUACAUUUGUAUGAAAUAGACCAAGAACUGUUUUCUGAGGGAAACCUCAGCCUGGCUGUGGAGGUGGGCUGGUUCUUUUGCAGGCCGACUCCUGAUGAUGUUCUUAUUCCGAGAGGUCAGCCUUGCUCCACACGGUUGAUUCUCAAAACCUAGCAAACUCCAAGGGUUUUGAAAUUCUUAAAGACCAUCUGAAGAAACAAUUCAUCAAUUUUCUGCUUAAUUUUAUAUUUUAUGUAAUUUUGAUAUUAAAUAACAAUAAAAUUAUGAUAAACCUUA